rnacentral:rRNA from 1 species
AAUAGAUACCCCGGUAGUCCACGCCGUAAACGAUGUCGACUUGGAGGUUGUUCCCUUGAGGAGUGGCUUCCGGAGCUAACGCGUUAAGUCGACCGCCUGGGGAGUACGGCCGCAAGGUUAAAACUCAAAUGAAUUGACGGGGGCCGCACAAGCGGUGGAGCAUGUGGUUUAAUUCGAUGCAACGCGAAGAACCUUACCUACUCUUGACAUCCAGAGAACUUAGCAGAGAUGCUUUGGUGCCUUCGGGAACUCUGAGACAGGUGCUGCAUGGCUGUCGUCAGCUCGUGUUGUGAAAUGUUGGGUUAAGUCCCGCAACGAGCGCAACCCUUAUCCUUUGUUGCCAGCGGUUCGGCCGGGAACUCAAAGGAGACUGCCAGUGAUAAACUGGAGGAAGGUGGGGAUGACGUCAAGUCAUCAUGGCCCUUACGAGUAGGGCUACACACGUGCUACAAUGGCGUAUACAAAGAGAAGCGACCUCGCGAGAGCAAGCGGACCUCAUAAAGUACGUCGUAGUCCGGAUUGGAGU